UACAGAGGGUGCAAGCGUUGUUCGGAAUUAUUGGGCGUAAAGCGCGUGUAGGCGGCUUUGCAAGUCGGGUGUGAAAGCCCUCAGCUUAACUGAGGAAGUGCGCCCGAAACUGCAGAGCUUGAGUACCGGAGAGGAUGGUGGAAUUCCCGAAGUAGAGGUGAAAUUCGUAGAUAUCGGGAGGAACACCGGUGGCGAAGGCGGCGACCUGGGACAAUACUGACGCUGAGGUGCGAAAGCGUGGGGAGCAAACAGG
rnacentral:rRNA from 1 species